CACGGAGGGUGCAAGCGGUAUUCGGAAUCACUGGGCGUAAAGAGCGCGUAGGCGGUCUCUUAAGUCAGAUGUGAAAGCCCGGGGCUUAACCCCGGAAGUGCAUUUGAAACUAAGGGUCUUGAGUAUGGGAGAGGGAAGUGGAAUUCCUGGUGUAGCGGUGAAAUGCGUAGAUAUCAGGAGGAACACCGGUGGCGAUGGCGACUUCCUGGACCAAUACUGACGCUGAAGCGCGAAGGCGUUGGGAGCAAACAGG
rnacentral:rRNA from 1 species